rnacentral:rRNA from 1 species
UCCGUAGGUGGCAAGCGUUGUCCGGAAUUAUUGGGCGUAAAGCGCGCGCAGGCGGGCCUUUAAGUCUGAUGUGAAAGCCCACGGCUCAACCGUGGAGGGUCAUUGGAAACUGGGGGACUUGAGUGCAGAAGAGGAGAGUGGAAUUCCACGUGUAGCGGUGAAAUGCGUAGAUAUCUGGAGGAACACCGGUGGCGAAGGCGGCAUUCUGGACCAUAACUGACACUGAGAGACGAAAGCCAGGGGAGCAAACGGG